rnacentral:tRNA from 5 species
GGGCACGUAGCUCAGUGGUAGAGCAUCACGUUGACAUCGUGGGGGUUGUUGGUUCGAUCCCAACCGUGCCCACCA